rnacentral:rRNA from 1 species
GAUAAACGCUGGCGGCAUGCCUAAUACAUGCAAGUCGAACGAGAUCUAGUGAAGAGUAAUCUGAGCUAGUGAAAGUGGCGGACGGGUGAGUAACGCGUGAACAAUCUGCCUUAUACAGGGGAAUAGCUCCGGGAAACUGGAAAUAAAACCGCAUAAGACCACAGCAUCGCAUGGUGCAGGGGUAAAAUCUACGGAGGUAUAAGAAGAGUUCGCGUCUGAUUAGCUAGUUGGUGAGGUAACGGCCCACCAAGGCGACGAUCAGUAGCCGGCCUGAGAGGGUGAACGGCCAAACUGGAACUGAGAGACGGUCCAGACGCCUACGGGAGGAAGCAGUAGGGAAUAUUGCACAAUGGGGGAAACCCUGAUGCAGCAAUGCCGCGUGAAGGAUGAAGGUUUUCGGAUUGUAAACUUCUAUCGAUGGGGAAGAAAGAAAUGACGGUACCCAAGUAAGAAGCCCCGGCUAACUAUGUGCCAGCAGCCGCCGUAAUAC